rnacentral:lncRNA from 1 species
GCAUAUCAGUGGUGGAUGUAGCUGUAGGUCUGACUCAUCUGUAUAGCACUUUGGGCUGAGGGGAUGGGAUUUGAUUAUCACAGCAGCCACUGACCAUUUUAAAAACAAGACUGGAUGUUUUUCUAGGAAUUAUUUGUGGACGUUCUAUGGCCUGUGUUGUACAGAUCACAAUGGUGCCUUCUGGUCUCACAGUCUAUGAAUCUUUGACAGCAUGGAUUCCCGCUCGUCCAGAGAAACUGCCGAAGAAGAUGGAGGCAGAGCUGAGAAUCUGCUGCUGAUCGGAACCGGCUUUGCUUUGAGGCCAUGUGGACCCACACUUGAACCGCUUCAGUUGAACUGCUGCAAGCGUGUGUGUGGACACUCUUAUUUCAGUUUAGCUUAAACCUCUUCCUAGAGGACUUGGAGCUAAAUCGCAAUCAGUCUGGUUAAAACGGGAACACACGCACGUUCACUGGCUGAGCACCAUGCCUUUAAACUAAACCGGUGCGUAACUGAAUAUACAUGGAUCCUGAAUCGCAGAGAGCUGCAGCCAGUGAGAUAGAGCUGCUCGGAGUCCAGCAUGCCCCCCAGGGACUCCAAGAGAGAGGAGAGAUGGAGGAGCGCUUUGACUGCAGUGGAGGUGCGGAGAGAGGCCAGGCUUUGAAACAGGAGAGAAAUAGGCAGGCUCAGCUGUGCGCAUGUACCCAGGGCCCUGCGUCUGUGUGAGUAACAAGCAAGUGUCUGGGGACAGCAGGUAACUCAUGUUGUGGGCGCACGCCACACCAGUGCAGUCACCUUUCUCUGCCAGUGCCGAUGGCAUGCCUGCCGAAAGGUGACCCUGACUGUUCCGGGGAAGGGGAUCUGCAAAGGUGGCUGUGUAGGAGGAAGUUGACCCUCCCAGCAUGCCUAGCACUCAGAGGCCUCCUCUCCCAUGACAGCUGCCUGGAUUCUUGGCCCCGAGGUCUCUGUCCAGGUGUUUCUUGGUCACUACCAUCAGGACAAACUGGGAAUGCCCUGGGUCUAACCACACGCUCAGGAAAUGUGCUUCCCGUCAAGUCGUAGUCCCAGCUGUCGUCCUAGCUGCAGUCACAGUUUUUAUGUUGAUCACCAUCAUCACUAUCGCUGCUUUAGCAGAACUUUUAAGAGGUAAGUGCAUGGCCCAGCCAGUCUCUGCUCCCCCUGGAGCUGUUGCAGCCACAGAAUCUCUCCUCCCCGUCCCCUUUGGCUUCGGCAGUCAGGUGAGAAAGGAGUUUGUCUAAAGGCUUAUGCAGCCUCUGUUACCUUAGUAGCUGGAGAUCUGUGAGGCACAGAGAGCUUGUUAUCUCUGUUUUCUGGAUGGGGAAACCGAGGCUCAGAGAUAUCAAGUGGGGGUGUUUUCAAGGUGCUAAAACUUCCUACACCUCAGAGCUUCCCAGCUCCCCAGACACAUAUUGCAUGUCUAGAGUAAAGUGCACAUGGAACUGUAGGAUCAGCAGCACUAAAAGGGCACAUUACUGACAGACCUUAUUGUUGACUUCUAUACCUGCCAUCUCACCGUUGUCACAUCCCGUCUGCAGCACGCCGCUCUGCCGUUAUCGGGCUGGCCUUUCUGCAGCCCCUCUUCAGGGCCGGUGGGUGCUCCUGUGUGUCACUGACUCAGGCCUUAUCAUUCAGUAUCAAAACCCGCCUUGAGGCUGAGAGGUUCAACCCACAGAUGAAGGAAAUCGGAAGUGAAGGUCCCCCAGAGACACUAACUGGCCCUGUCGGUGCCGUUUGAGGGCUGCUGUUUAUACAGCUCCGGACGCACUGUUCAGCUACAUUCACCUCUUGGACCAGAUCCUGUGCACCACUUAAGACUAAAUCAAGAAUUCCCUCUCCUGUGGGGGGUUCCAAGACUAGCUGCUCCAAGAAGCACC